rnacentral:rRNA from 1 species
UGGGGAAUAUUGCACAAUGGGCGCAAGCCUGAUGCAGCGACGCCGCGUGGGGAUGACGGCCUUCGGGUUGUAAACUCCUUUCGCUAGGACGAAGCUUUUGUGACGGUACCUAGAUAAGAAGCACCGGCUAACUACGUGCCAGCAGCCGCGGUAAUACGUAGGGUGCGAGCGUUGUCCGGAUUACUGGGCGUAAAGGGCUCGUAGGGUGGUUUGUCGCGUCGUCUGUGAAAUUCCGGGCUUAACUCCGGGCGUGCAGGCGAUACGGGCAUAACUUGAGUACUGUAGGGGUAACUGGAAUUCCUGGUGUAGCGGUGAAAUGCGCAGAUAUCAGGAGGAACACCGAUGGCGAAGGCAGGUUACUGGGCAGUUACUGACGCUGAGGAGCGAAAGCAUGGUAGCGAACA